rnacentral:rRNA from 1 species
UACGUAGGUGGCGAACGUUGUCCGGAUUUACUGGGCGUAAAGCGCGCGCAGGCGGACCGAUAAGUCAGAGGUGAAAUCUCCCGGCUCAACUGGGAGGGGCCCUUUGAUACUGUCGGUCUUGAGAUGCCUAGAGGAGAGUGGAAUUCCCGGUGUAGUGGUGGAAUGCGUAGAUAUCGGGAGGAACACCAGUGGCGAAGGCGGCUUCCUGGACCGGUUCUGACACUGAGGAGCGAAAGCGUGGGGAGCGAUCCGG